rnacentral:rRNA from 1 species
AGGACGAACGCUGGCGGCGUGCUUAAUACAUGCAAGUCGAACGUGGUCCAUCCACUCUUCGGAGUGGAGAAGAUCAAGUGGCGAACGGGUGCGUAACACGUGAGGAACCUGCCCCGGUCUCUGGAAUAACUGAUGGAAACAUCUGCUAAUACCGGAUACCGUCAUCACCCCACAUGGUGAGAUGACGAAAGAUUCAUCGGAUUGGGAGGGUCUCGCGGCCUAUCAGCUUGUUGGUGAGGUAAAGGCUCACCAAGGCAUCGACGGGUAGCUGGUCUGAGAGGAUGAUCAGCCACACUGGGACUGAGACACGGCCCAGACUCCUACGGGAGCAGCAGUAGGGAUAUUGCACAAUGGCGCAAGCCUGAUGCAGCAACGCCGCGUGCGGAAGAAGGCCCUAGGUUGUAAACCGCUUUCAGCAAGGAAGAAACAGACGUACUGUAGAAGAGUGCGCAACUCGUGCCAG